UUAGGAAUUUCAUGUCUUUUUUUGUUUACGAAUUGGUCAGAAAUCAAGGUUAAUACUUUGGAAUGGAGUCUUCUAUUCGCUUAUGUUGCGACCUUAUCGUGGUUCUACUAUCAGAAAGCCAUGAGUGAAGACGCAGCUACAGUACUGAGUACAUCCAAGCUUAGUCCUACAGAAAAGAUAGCCAUACCUGUCUUGACACAGUAAUUUCAUCAAAGGUCUCAUACCCCAAGGGACUCUGUUUCUUAUCACUGUUGUCAAAGGUGAUAGUCACCGUUGCUUUAGUUACACCAGCCUGGCCGCCUUUGUAAACCAACUCUUGAAGACUACUGGCUCGCACCUGGAGUUUAAGACCAAGAGAACCCUCAUGUAAGAGUAAUUGUAAGACACUUGGCCUUAUAAUCUGUACAAAACUAGUGUUCAAGAAGGCACAAGUGUAGACAUUAACACAAAGACAACUGCAGUUUGUGUCCGACUGUUUUCAACGGUUGAACGUUUUUAUUUCUGUCGAAGCACUGCACAUCACUGCACUCGAAGCUCUUCUUAGUAUUGUUUGGUAAAGGUGAUACAAUAAAUCACACACAUAAGAUAAUUCACAUCACCGAUUUUCCAAGAGUAAGUUAAGUAGAUUGUUGUGAAACACAUCCGUAAUGAGGGGAAGUGAUGAUCACACCUAACUACCAAAUUUAAGUACACAAAGUGGUGUGGUCUAUGAUUUCAUUAAUAGAAAGUCAUUUUCU